rnacentral:rRNA from 1 species
AUAUUUUAUAAUGGGCGAAAGCCUGAUCCAGCCAUGCCGCGCGUGUGAAGUAGGUCUUUGGUGUGUAAAGCACUUUAUGUUGGGAGGAAGGGCAGGAAGCUAAUACCUUGCUGCUUUGCCGUUACCGUCAGAAUAAGCACCGGCUAACCUCGUGCCAUCCGCCUCGGUAAUACGAAGGGUGCAAGCGUUACUCGGAAUUACUGGGCGUAAAGCGCGCGUAGGUGGUUGGUUAAGUUAGAAGUGAAAGCCCCGGGCUCAACCUGGGAACUGCUUUCAAAACUGGCAAGCUAGAGUAUGGCAGAGGGUGGUGGAAUUUCCUGUGUAGCGGUGAAAUGCGUAGAUAUAGGAAGGAACAUCAGUGGCGAAGGCGACCACCUGGGCUAAUACUGACACUGAGGUGCGAAAGCGUGGGGAGCAAACAGG